ensembl:misc_RNA Metazoa_SRP Metazoan signal recognition particle RNA
GCCGGGUGUGGUGGUGCACACCUGUAAUCCCAGCUAUUCGGGAGGCUGAGGCAGGAGAAUUGCUUGAACCCAGGAGGUGGAGGUUACAGUGAGCCCAGAUUGUGCCACUCCAGCCUGGGCAACAGAGCAAGACUCUGUCUCAG